ACGGAAGGCAGCAGUGGGGAAUAUUGCACAAUGGGCGAAAGCCUGAUGCAGCGACGCCGCGUGAACGAAGAAGUAUUUCGGUAUGUAAAGUUCUAUCAGCAGGGAAGAUAAUGACGGUACCUGACUAAGAAGCACCGGCUAAAUACGUGCCAGCAGCCGCGGUAGUACGUAUGGUGCAAGCGUUAUCCGGAUUUACUGGGUGUAAAGGGAGCGCAGGCGGCGCGGCAAGUCUGAAGUGAAAUCCCGGGGCUCAACCCCGGAACUGCUUUGGAAACUGUCGUGCUAGAGUGUCGGAGGGGUAAGCGGAAUUCCUAGUGUAGCGGUGAAAUGCGUAGAUAUUAGGAGGAACACCAGUGGCGAAGGCGGCUUACUGGACGAUAACUGACGCUGAGGCUCGAAAGCGUGGGGAGCAAACAGGAUUAGAUACCCUGGUA
rnacentral:rRNA from 1 species